UACAGAGGGGGCAAGCGUUGUUCGGAAUUACUGGGCGUAAAGGGCGCGUAGGCGGCCUGCUAAGUCGAACGUGAAAUCCCCGGGCUCAACCCGGGAACUGCAUUGGAUACUGCCUUGCUAGAGUACUGGAGAGGAAACUGGAAUUUACGGUGUAGCAGUGAAAUGCGUAGAGAUCGUAAGGAAGACCAGUGGCGAAGACGAGUUUCUGGACAGUUACUGACGCUGAGGCACGAAGGCCAGGGGAGCAAACGGG
rnacentral:rRNA from 1 species